rnacentral:misc_RNA from 1 species
AUUGGGUUCUAUUUUGCUAAAGAGCUUUUGGGAUCUGGUCAUGAUGUUACUGUUCUUACGGUUGGAGAAGAGAGCUCUGAUAAAAUGAAGAAAACCCCUUUUACCAGAUUCUCAGAAAUUACUGGUGCUGGUGGUCGAACCGUAUGGGGUAAUCCUGCAGAUGUUGGGAAGAUUUUAGAGGGUGAAGUAUUUGAUGCUGUUUUGGACAACAAUGGUAAAGACUUGGAUUCUGUAAGUCCUGUAGCUGACUGGGCCAAGAGUUCUGGUGUCAAGCAAUUUUUGUUUAUCAGCA